rnacentral:rRNA from 1 species
GAAUUCGCCCUUAGAGUUUGAUCCUGGCUCAGGACGAACGCUGGCGGCGCGCCUAACACAUGCAAGUCGAACGAGCGAGAGAGAGCUUGCUUUCUCAAGCGAGUGGCGAACGGGUGAGUAACGCGUGAGGAACCUGCCUCAAAGAGGGGGACAACAGUUGGAAACGACUGCUAAUACCGCAUAAGCCCACAGCUCGGCAUCGAGCAGAGGGAAAAGGAGCAAUCCGCUUUGAGAUGGCCUCGCGACCGAUUAGCUAGUUGGUGAGGUAAUGGCCCACCAAGGCAACGAUCGGUAGCCGGACUGAGAGGUUGAACGGCCACAUUGGGACUGAGACACGGCCCAGACUCCUACGGGAGGCAGCAGUGGGGAAUAUUGCACAAUGGGGGAAACCCUGAUGCAGCGACGCCGCGUGGAGGAAGAAGGUCUUCGGAUUGUAAACUCCUGUUGUUGAGGAAGAUAAUGACGGUACUCAACAAGGAAGUAACGGCUAACUACGUGCCAGCAGCCGCGGUAAAACGUAGGUCACAAGCGUUGUCCGGAAUUACUGGGUGUAAAGGGAGCGCAGGCGGGAAGACAAGUUGGAAGUGAAAUCUAUGGGCUCAACCCAUAAACUGCUUUCAAAACUGUUUUUCUUGAGUAGUGCAGAGGUAGGCGGAAUUCCCGGUGUAGCGGUGGAAUGCGUAGAUAUCGGGAGGAACACCAGUGGCGAAGGCGGCCUACUGGGCACCAACUGACGCUGAGGCUCGAAAGUGUGGGUAGCAAACAGGAUUAGAUACCCUGGUAGUCCACACCGUAAACGAUGAUUACUAGGUGUUGGAGGAUUGACCCCUUCAGUGCCGCAGUUAACACAAUAAGUAAUCCACCUGGGGAGUACGACCGCAAGGCUGAAACUCAAAGGAAUUGACGGGGGCCCGCACAAGCAGUGGAGUAUGUGGUUUAAUUCGACGCAACGCGAAGAACCUUACCAAGUCUUGACAUCCUGCGACGAUGCUGGAAACAGUAUUUUCCUUCGGGACGCAGAGACAGGUGGUGCAUGGUUGUCGUCAGCUCGUGUCGUGAGAUGUUGGGUUAAGUCCCGCAACGAGCGCAACCCUUACUGUCAGUUACUACGCAAGAGGACUCUGGCAGGACUGCCGUUGACAAAACGGAGGAAGGUGGGGAUGACGUCAAAUCAUCAUGCCCUUUAUGACUUGGGCUACACACGUACUACAAUGGCGUUAAACAAAGAGAAGCAAGACCGCGAGGUGGAGCAAAACUCAGAAACAACGUCCCAGUUCGGACUGCAGGCUGCAACUCGCCUGCACGAAGUCGGAAUUGCUAGUAAUCGUGGAUCAGCAUGCCACGGUGAAUACGAUACCCGGGCCUUGCACACACCGCCCGUCA